rnacentral:rRNA from 1 species
AUUGAACGCUAGCGGGAUGCUUUACACAUGCAAGUCGCACGAGUGGCGGACGGGUGAGUAAUAUAUCGGAACGUGCCCAGUCGCGGGGGAUCACUACUCGGAAGAGUGGCUGAUACCGCAUUCUAUUGGAGCGGCCGACAUCGGAUUAGCUAGUUGGUGGGGUAACGGCUAACAAAGGAAACGAUCCGUAGCUGGUUUGAGAGGACGACCAUCCACACUGGGACUGAGACACGGCCCAGACUCCUACGGGAGGCAGCAGGGGGGAAUUGUGGACAAUGGGGGAAACCCUGAUCCAGCCAUCCCGCGUGUAUGAGAAGGCCUUCGGGUUGUAAAGUACUUUUGGCAGAGAAGCGGUACCUGCAGAAUAAGCACCGGCUAACUACGUGCCAGCAGCCGCGGUAAUUC